rnacentral:hammerhead_ribozyme from 1 species
AUCUAGCUGAUGAGUCUCAAAUAGAACAAAAAGUAAGUCCUAGAU